rnacentral:lncRNA from 1 species
ACCCCAUCUUGAAUUCAAACUAAUGAAGAUCAUGAUCAAAGAUGAAAUAUGCUCCAAAUCCGAUCUGAAUAUGUUUUACUCUUCAUAAGUCCUCUCCUUAAGAUUGAAGAAAAAAAAAAUUACACUAAUACCCCUUAAAGUUUGAUCCAUUUAUACUUGAACCCCAAAAGAAAAAAUUCAAAUGAAUCCCAAAACUUUGUAAACAUUGCCAAGAGCCCCAGCCAUCUAUCUCC